UUGCGUCUCAAUCUGUACAGCCCCAUUGAAAACAACUGCAUGCGUCUACUCCUGCGCUCCCCUGUAAUGAGGUUUAGUAAUGUCAUGAUCUAGAUCAACUCAAAUGUCUGAAAUCCAUUAAUUCCUAGGUCAGUUGUUUGGCCUUAAUAUGUUUGCCUUGUCAUGAGUGUUAUAUGUCAGGUCUUUAUAACCAAUCUCGAUUAUUAGGCCUUAUAUGAUUGUUGUGAAAUGAAAUUGUUUGGAAUGGAUAUCUGGAAAGUAAACAAUUUUUUAUACUUUUCUUCCAAAUGAACAGCCUGCUGAUGGUGAUGUGCUGACGUGCCCCUAACAGUGAAUGCUUUCCUGUAACAUCUUAUGCUGUAAGCAGAAAAAUGAUGAGAUGAUAAACAAAUUUCCAUGUGUAUACACAUAUUCAAGAGAAAGCAUUAUCUGUACUUGUCAUUUCAGCUUUCUGGCCUCCUACUGUGUUAUGGUUGUGGUUCAUGUGUGUGGUACUCUACUUUAUUAUCUUGGUACUUGCCCACAGAGGAUACAGACAUGGACACUGACUGAUUGGCCACGCCUAAAACUCCGUUAUUCGGGUAUUUAGGAAUUACUCAGGGAAUGUAAAAAUAUAUUGCUAACAACUUACCAUAUUAUUGAUGUGACUUUGCAGCCUCUCCAUGUGCAAACUUUUCCUGACCCACUAAAUUGGACUCAACACAACCGACAGAUGUGAUGAACUGAAAGCUGUUUGGCUCAUUUGAACCUGGGUGGAGUCACCUUUCAAUAACAUAUCAGUAUGGCUUCUUCUGUUUUCUUGUUUGAAAUGACAUUACCCAUGUUACUAUUUUGGACUAGCACCUUGUCAAAAAAGAAAAACAAACACACCCAGUAAUGUUUUAGUGGCUUUACUGACACAAUCUUUGUCAAAAUCCAAAACCGUUGAACAACAAUAAAAAGACAAUAUAUAUC